rnacentral:rRNA from 1 species
GAAGAGAGAGUUCAAGAGUACGUGAAACCGUCUGGGAGUAAACGGGUGGUUCCCGAAAGUGCGAAAGGGGAGAUUCAGGUCUCGCCGUGCGCCGGGCCGCGCCCGCGAUGAAGGGAUGGCGUUUUCGCGGCCGUGGGGCGACCCUCGGUCCGGGAGGGCGACCCUCGGUCCGGGAGCGCCACCCCGCGGGUGCGGUCUUUCCCGGCGUCGGAGUGACGCACUUCUCCCCCGGUAGAACGUCGCGAUCCGUCGGUCGCCGGCCUAAGGCCCCUGGUGGAGCCUGUUUCGCCGCGCAUGACCCAGGGGAUCCCGGCCGGGUGCCCGACGGUACGAAGAGAGGAAGGAGUCGGCGCGCCUGUUUCAGGCGUCCGCCCCUCCGCAAGCGCUCGCGGGAGUCGGAAGAGCGGGCCCGGCCCGGCUUCCUUCUUCAGCGGGGCUGUUUGCGAUCAGGAGGUGUGCUCGGAC